GUCAGAGACCAAAGAUCCUCUCCGUGUACAACCACAUCUAAAGAAAUGUUUUGAAGGAAUUUACCAGCUGUCCUUCACUGAAGCCAAGGUCAUCAUUGCUAUGGAGUCUGCUGAGAAAGAGAAAGUUGAAUUCUGUAAGGUUAUAAUACCAGCUGAUGCUAAUGGUUUAGUGGAAAGAUGGUU
rnacentral:sRNA from 1 species